CGUGCUUAACACAUGCAAGUCGAACGAUGACCCCCAGCUUGCUGGGGUGAUUAGUGGCGAACGGGUGAGUAACACGUGAGUAACCUGCCCCUGACUCUGGGAUAAGCCCGGGAAACUGGGUCUAAUACUGCAUAUGCACCGUAAGCCGCAUGGCUUUUGGUGGAAAGAUUUUUUGGUCAGGGAUGGACUCGCGGCCUAUCAGCUUGUUGGUGAGGUAAUGGCUCACCAAGGCGACGACGGGUAGCCGGCCUGAGAGGGUGACCGGCCACACUGGGACUGAGACACGGCCCAGACUCCUACGGGAGGCAGCAGUGGGGAAUAUUGCACAAUGGGCGAAAGCCUGAUGCAGCGACGCCGCGUGAGGGAUGACGGCCUUCGGGUUGUAAACCUCUUUCAGUAGGGAAGAAGCGAAAGUGACGGUACCUGCAGAAGAAGCGCCGGCUAACUACGUGCCAGCAGCCGCGGUAAUACGUAGGGCGCAAGCGUUAUCCGGAAUUAUUGGGCGUAAAGAGCUCGUAGGCGGUUUGUCGCGUCUGCCGUGAAAGUCCGAGGCUCAACCUCGGAUCUGCGGUGGGUACGGGCAGACUAGAGUGAUGUAGGGGAGACUGGAAUUCCUGGUGUAGCGGUGAAAUGCGCAGAUAUCAGGAGGAACACCGAUGGCGAAGGCAGGUCUCUGGGCAUUAACUGACGCUGAGGAGCGAAAGCAUGGGGAGCGAACAGGAUUAGAUACCCUGGUAGUCCAUGCCGUAAACGUUGGGCACUAGGUGUG
rnacentral:rRNA from 1 species